GGCAAAGGGAGCGCAGCAGGAACAACUCGCGGUAGCAUUCCCGGUACAACACUGCCAUCAAGUGGAUACUGAAAGAGAAUCCACCAGCACGUCCGCAAGUGCUCUUAGAACUCGGAGGGGUGCGCAGGCGCACAGGAGACCCUGGGGGACCAGCAGGACAAAGGAAGGUGGCGUCCCUGGCGCGUCUGGAGUUCUGAAAGUUGUGUGAGGAGACUUUGGUGGAGCCAUCCUGUAUUUUCCUGGUCUUUGCAAGGAUAAUCAAGGACCUCGUUUCAAAGGAGAACAUUCUCAAAAAAUUUUCAACUAGACUGAGGGGCAUCGCUUCAUAUCAGAGAACACACUCUCAGUAUUUGUAAGAAUCUGGAGUCAUGGCGUGCAUCAUGGACACUGGCUUAGGUUCGCAGCAGUGGCCACCACUGGAUGUCCAAGAGGGUCGUGUACCUUCUCUUCUAUGAAAGAAUCACCCACAUUGGACUUCUGUGUACGCGGUACUGAAAGGAUAAGCAUGUCUCCCAGAAUGCUGGUCUCAAGUUUUGUGGACUGACUUCAAACCCCUUGGAUAAUCAUUAUAUAACUUCUACUUCAGAUCUCACCAUUGAGACUUCAUUCAAGGCUCUUUUCCAUCACCUGUGUUUGAAAAUCACAUAAGAAGAUACCAACACAUGCAGGAAUCUACUUACCUUGACUGUUUCUCCUUCUUGGAAGGGUGCUGACAUAUAAUGACCACUGCCUUUCCCAUGGCAAUAUUUGAAAGGAAAAAGAUAGGAACAAAAUGCACUUACCCAUAAUACCAGCAGUUAGAGAUUCUUUUAGUCACAGUUGGUGCCUUUCUGUCUGUGAAGAGGAGUUUGUCCUGCAAGGAGGCACCAGAAUAUCCUUUAUUCCAUAUGCAACUGCCAAAUUGAUGGCCAAAUGAUGGCACUGUAACACCUCAACAAACCAAACUGAAGAGUGCAUUUAGGCUAUGGUAAAAGCUCUUGACAUUUGAAGAGCAUAUAGUCAGAUACCUAGUUUACUCAUCUUUCUUUCUUUAAAUCGCGAUGGUACUAGGGUUUGAACACUGGGCCUGGAUGUUGUCACU